UCGAUGCAACGUGUAUGUACAUUUCUCCAAGUCCCUUAGGGAUCAAAACAACAUUGAGAGCGCACUCUCGAAGAAACUAGUGAAACUAUGAGCGCGAACGCCCGGCGCUGCUCUUGGGCCGUCCACCUCCCAAGUGACUCCACUGCGGAGCUUGAAGCCACCUGCUUCGCCUCGCCACUCUUGGGCCGUCCACCUCCCAAGUGACUCCACUGCGGAGCUUGAAGCCACCUGCUUCGCCUCGCCACUCCUCCACUCGGUCACAAUGAUGUCAAGCCGGACGAACACCAUGUCGAUCUAGCUCGACGUCGUCGCAGCCAAGCAGUCCAACUCGAGCACGAUGACCCGGCAUCGCUCAU
rnacentral:lncRNA from 1 species